ACCUGGCUGGCUCAGUCAGAAGAGCCUGGAACUCUUGAUCUCAGGGUCGUAGGUUCGAACCCCAUGUUGGGUG
rnacentral:tRNA from 1 species